rnacentral:rRNA from 1 species
AUACGGAGGAUCCGAGCGUUAUCCGGAUUUAUUGGGUUUAAAGGGAGCGUAGAUGGAUGUUUAAGUCAGUUGUGAAAGUUUGCGGCUCAACCGUAAAAUUGCAGUUGAUACUGGAUAUCUUGAGUGCAGUUGAGGCAGGCGGAAUUCGUGGUGUAGCGGUGAAAUGCUUAGAUAUCACGAAGAACUCCGAUUGCGAAGGCAGCCUGCUAAGCUGCAACUGACAUUGAGGCUCGAAAGUGUGGGUAUCAAACAGGAUUAGAUACCCUGGUAGUCCACACGGUAAACGAUGAAUACUCGCUGUUUGCGAUAUACAGCAAGCGGCCAAGCGAAAGCGUUAAGUAUUCCACCUGGGGAGUACGCCGGCAACGGUGAAACUCAAAGGAAUUGACGGGGGCCCGCAUAAGCGGAGGAACAUGUGGUUUAAUUCGAUGAUACGCGAGGAACCUUACCCGGGCUUAAAUUGCAGAUGAAUUACGGUGAAAGCCGUAAGCCGCAAGGCAUCUGUGAAGGUGCUGCAUGGUUGUCGUCAGCUCGUGCCGUGAGGUGUCGGCUUAAGUGCCAUAACGAGCGCAACCCUUGUUGUCAGUUACUAACAGGUUCCGCUGAGGACUCUGACAAGACUGCCAUCGUAAGAUGUGAGGAAGGUGGAGAUGACGUCAAAUCAGCACGGCCCUUACGUCCGGGGCUACACACGUGUUACAAUGGGGGGUACAGAGGGUCGCUACCACGCGAGUGGAUGCCAAUCCCCAAAACCUCUCUCAGUUCGGACUGGAGUCUGCAACCCGACUCCACGAAGCUGGAUUCGCUAGUAAUCGCGCAUCAGCCACGGCGCGGUGAAUACGUUCCCGGGCCUUGUACACACCGCCCGUCAAGCCAUGGGAGCCGGGGGUACCUGAAGUGCGUAACCGCGAGGAGCGCCCUAGGGUAAAACUGGUGACUGGGGCU